GCUUAGUUGGAAAUCAGCCGCAGAGAGAGGAAGUUGGUGAAGUUUAAUAAAAGAUUUGGAAGAAGGAGAACAUGGAAUGUUCUGCUGGGUGACACUUGCUGUGCUUGGUACCUAAUUCUCCCAAAGCCAUAUCUCAUGAGGCCCACAAACUGCAGCCAAGGAAAAAUUUAAUCAAACAUGCAUACCAAGAUCAGAAGUGAAAUUGAGAGGUUCUUUUAUUUGCAUAAGAGAACUUGGAGAGACCGAGAAAGAUGAGUAUUUGACAACAACCAACCUCUAAGCCUCAAACACCAUGCACCAAGAGAAGGAGAACAAUUAUUGUGACAUUUAAUCUAAUGUCUACAUCCUAAUUUAUAAUACACAAUAGCCAAAAAAAACAUGAAUCUCUCUCUCUCUCUCUCUCUGCUAUUAAAACAUGUCUAACAUGUUUUUAUUAUGAAAUUGUUUUAAGUACCAUAAACUGGAAAUGAUAAUUAUUAAAGUAAUAAAAAUUAAAUUAG
rnacentral:sRNA from 1 species